AGAGAGGGUAAGGAUACCAAAACCCCCACCAUAAGACUCGUGGAGGAGUCGCGAAUUGAGUUGCGCGAGAAUGUUCCCUUUCAUAAGGGGUGGUUUUGCGCUUCGUUUAGUUCAACGAGUGGCCGCACAGUGGCAGCACCUGUUUUUCCAAACUUGUACUCCUCUCAAAACUUAGGCGCGCGCUUCCAAAUGCCGACCGAUCUUGUUUAUGAGACGCGCGUCGACGUCGGCUGACAUUCGCCGUCAGCCGAAACGAUACCCCCAAAGGCAGACGGCAAUUCAACGACAAGAGACGAGAUAAAAAAAAAUUUAAAAAAAAAAAAAAAAACUCGAGUGUUAAAAAAUUGCAUAAAAAAUGCAUUUAAAAAUGUUUAAAAACAAAAAAUACCUCGACGUUCUCAUUUGUGGAUCGAAAAUACUUCGAAAUAGGCGAAACGCGCACAAGGAAAAAUAAAAGUGAAAAUUGAGAAUGAUACAGAAAACAGAAGCAAAGUUUAAAAGAAUGAAAGCAGACCCAGAGAUUUAUUAACCAAAAAAAAGUUUAUUGUUGAAGCUUGAAGAUGAAUUUAUCCAGAUAUUAUUGUUAUAUACCUAUGUUAUAUUUAAUUGCAAAUAUGCGUCCAAUAAAAAUUAUUUAUUGAGACAAGUUAAUCAAUUUGGCAGAGAAAAAAGAUAAAAAAAAAAGUGUAUAGAACUAUUUUCAAGAGAAAGGAAUAAAAAAUAUAUAUAUAUGUGCAGAGACGUUUGGCAUUUGAAGAGGUCAUAUUUUUAGCUUUUAUCGCAUAACACACGCGUCUAAACGCAGGUGCCAA